CUGUAGUAUGGGUAGUAUACAUUAGUGUAGAUAGUAUAAGGGUAUCAUGGUAAAAGAACAUAAAUGAUAUCCCUUAAAUUUUAUUUUUGACACUAGCAUAAAGUGUAAAAGGCCAUUCCAUUUGAAAUAUCACUUUUCACAUGUAAUAAUUACUACAUUAUCCAUAAUCAUGAACAUUUAGAUCUUUUAUAUAUAUAUAUAUAUAUAUAUAUAUAUAUAUAUAUAUAUAUAUAUAUAUAUAUAUAUAUAGACACACACACCACUAAGUAGUAGUUUUGUGUAUCGUAAAAGAGCUCUUGCUAUAUUACGUACUUUAUAUCAUCUACAAGCCAAGAAACUAGGAAGGAACAUAUAAACAAGCUCAAUGCAAUGGAAGACAAGUGGAAACUUACAGC
rnacentral:lncRNA from 1 species